rnacentral:lncRNA from 1 species
UUCAAAAUAUAAUAUUUUAUUUAAAAUCUAGUCUAGUAUUAAACUUUAGUUAAGCUAAUCUCAUUUACAUUAAAUCGAUGAGACUCAAAAAAAGCAAUCAACAAAGUUUCUUAAAUUCUUGUUAAAAAGAUAAAACUAAAAUCAAAUAUCCAUACGUCACAACAAUAAUAUCCACUCACUGUAGUAAUUAUAACAAAUCAAACUCUCUAACUGAAAGAAAUACAAAAAAUCAAAAAUAGUAUGAUAGCAAAAUCAAAAAUUGUAUAAACGAAUUCUGAUCGGCUCCACGAAUAUAUACUUGAACCUGCACAUUGAAUAACACUUCAAUUAGUUCAAAUUUGUGCAACAUCCUUGAUUUGCCAGAGCAUUAAAAAAGAAAAGUGUACUGCCUAUAUUUUUUAACAACAAAAUGCAACAGAAUUCCGCAAGAAAUUAAACAAAUCAUUUUCCGUCGAAAUUAGUACCAAGACAUUAAUAAUCCAAUUCGAAACUGCUGGGUUAAAUUGACACAAGAAAUACUGCACAAAGUAAUUAAGUUACACCAUUUAUAGUUCUUCGACUAUCAAAUGAAUAAUGUUGAACUGUUUUAAAUUAGUGUUUUUAUUCUUUUUAUAGUAUAAUUAGAAGUGUAAAAUCAAAGCAUUAGAAUGAAAAAUAUGUUGGCUUGUUGCGUGUAAAUUCAAUGGAUUCCUAACUUCAAAUUAGAAUUUUGAGUGUAAAGUUAAAAUUUUUUACAUUAUUUUAUUAUAACAAGAACAAACAAAUUAUAAUUCUUAUCUAUUAGUUUUUUUUUGACAAAAGGAUAAGAUAUGAGGGCACUAGAAAUAACUGGAGAAAUAGCCAAGUAUAACUGGAAACUUUGUGUUUGUUAGUAUGUGGCCGACAUAACAAGGCAUGCAUGUUUGUCUUAAAUAGAGCUCGUUAGGAUUUAUUCCUUUUAGAAGUAUAAUAUAAUUGUUUGUUGAAGCACUUCAACAACUUCCCAUCCAAUCAGAUCUUUCAUAGAAAUAGAUGAUAUUGAAAAGGUACUACAUAGCCUAGAUUGAGGCAUUCAUAGCAAGACAAAAAGACAAUAAACAAAAACGAGAAAAGAGGAAAAGACAAUAAAUGAAACUACGGAUCUCAUGAAGUGAGAACUCGAGAUCUUUUGUUUUGAAGUAAUACCUCUAUAAGGUAAUUCCGGAGGCGGUAAGGAGUGUGUUACUGGCCCUUGGUAGUCGAUCUCGUAGAUCUCCGGCACUGCAGUAUCUUGAACAGAAGCUGUCGCAUAUCAAUUCCUUAAAAUCAGCUAAUAUCCUUCUAAUCAUUAAUUGCUCAUGCAAAUUAUUUUACCAACAGAUGGAAACCACAAAGAGUUGUAAGAAAAGGAAUACAACAAAUAACAUACUGCUGAGAUCAAACCUGUAAGGUUUUUUUUUUUCUGACAAAACAAACCUGAAUAUACAGUUGACAGAGUCACUGCAAGAACCAAAAGGAUAAGAACAUAAACUUGAGAUCUUCGCGCCAUUUUCCACUACUCUCGACUUCGUAAUCGCAACGAGAGGAGGAAUCAAAUGAAUUAAGCCAUCAUCAUUAUUAAGAGAGCAAGGUAUAGCUAGCAUAUGAGGUUGGUG